AACUCAUUAGUGGGUUAUAUUAUACCUUCCUCAUUUAAUUUCGUCAUGAUAAUGACUGGAUAACAUAGAGGUGUUGGAUAAAAAUUAUCAUUCAUUAAAAUGUCAAAAACGGCUAAAUUUAGGCCCAAGGACACAAGCACAACCAUCUAUAUUUACAAGCCGUGCUGAGUAUUAUGGCAACACUGCAGGUAGGGCCGAUUUCCGAAUUGAAAUUGCGAUGAUUUGCGUUACUCCGUAUUGAAUCAAUAGAAAUUAUUAUUCAGCAGACUACUCAUUACUGGACACUUACAAGCAGUUGUAUUUGUUGAAAGUACAUGUACAACCUCAAAUAUGACCUAUACACUACGUGGUCGCCCGGUUUCACCGAAAAAACCCCAAGUACAAAUCCCUAUGGAAAUUGAUAGCGAAACUGAAGCGACAGCAGCAUUUGUAGUGCCGAGCAGUGGCAACCUUCCAAUGAAAAACAAAAAAAUGUAGAAAGUGAAGGUGCUGGGUAUCACCUCAUUAAGCCGAAGCAGAGAACGGUAUUCUACCACGGACAUGUUGUCAAUUUUCUGAAGGAACCUUCUGACUUAUUCCGAGGAGUUCACGGUAUGAGAAUUAGAAGUCUAUGGGGAUCCCCUCUUUAAAAGGUUCGUACCUAGAGCCAUUGGAGUAGUGACCUGCUUACAGUCUCCCAUUCCGAAUCGCACCUAGAAGUCGUGGAUAAAACCUCGCUGAUGCACACCUUCACCUCGACCUAUUUCGACAGAAAUUCACCAAUUUCGGAUCUCGAUGGAAAACACAUUAUGAUGCAGUUACCAAUUUAUAGCGUUCCCUCGAGCGUUCCGAAUGUUAAAGUCAAAUAAAAAUGUUAUUUUCCAUUUUUGUUAACGAAUAAAAUAUAUGCACAAUUGUAAGCUGCCUAAGUAUCUUUCUUCGCUGUUAAAACCACCAAAGCGAAACAAAGAAGAGGGUCAUUUUUCAAGAGUAACAAAACGCCAAUAAAACUUUAAUCGCCCCUCCAAUUGACUUUCGGACAACGUUGUCAAACUUCCC